rnacentral:lncRNA from 1 species
ACUCUCACCACUUUCAUCUUCAACUCCAUCAAACCAGACCCAUCUGGUCCAGUCUCCAUAGCCACCAUCUCCGACGGCUACGACGAUCACGGCUUCGACCCAUCUGGCUCCAUCCAUGACUACCUCCAAAACUUCAAAACUUUCGGCUCCAAAACCAUUGCAGACAUCAUCCGCAAACACCAGACAAGUGAUAACCCCAUCACUUGUAUUGUCUAUGAUGCUUUCAUGCCAUGGGCACUCGACGUUGCCCGAGAGUUUGGUUUAGCUGCAACCCCUUUCUUUACGCAGUCAUGUGCUGUUAACUUCGUUUACUAUCUUUCUUACAUAAACGAUGGAAUCUUGAAGCUUCCCGUUGUAGACUUGCCUUUUCUUGAGCUCCAAGAUUUGCCUUCCUUUUUGUCUGUUUCUGGAUCUUAUCCUGCUUACUUUGAGAUGGUGCUCCAACAGUUUACAAACUUUGAAAAAGCUGAUUUCAUACUCGUUAAUACCUUCCAAGAGCUGGAGCCUCAUGUUAGAUCUCUCUUCUUACAACUUUCUCAACCAUGUCGUUUUCUUGUUUAUGUCCUAAUUACUAUGUAUUUGUCCUAAUUAGUCUUUUCCGUUGCAGGAGAAGGAGUUGUUGGCGAAAGUUUGUCAUGUGUUGACAGUUGGUCCGACUAUUCCAUCGAUGUACUUAGACCAAAGGAUCAAAUCAGACACGGCCUACGAUUUGAAUAUCUUUGAUUCGAAAGAUGCUGCCUUCUGCACUAGCUGGCUGGACACAAGGCCACAAGGGUCGGUGGUGUAUGUAGCAUUUGGUAGCUUGGCUGAGCUGAACAAUGCGCAGAUGGAGGAGCUUGCUUCAGCAGUAAGCAACUUCAACUUCUUGUGGGUUGUCAGAGGUUCAGAGGAGGCAAAACUGCCAUCAGGGUUUCUUGAGACAGUGGAUAAAGACAAGAGUUUGGUCUUGAAAUGGAGUCCUCAGCUUGAAGUUCUAUCAAACAAAGCCAUCGGUUGUUUCUUGACUCACUGUGGCUGGAACUCAACUAUGGAGUCAUUAACUUUUGGAGUUCCCUUGGUGGCUAUGCCUCAGUGGACCGAUCAACCUAUGAACGCAAAGUACAUACAAGAUGUGUGGAAGGCUGGAGUCUGUGUGAAGAUAGACAAUGAGAGUGGGAUUGCCAAGAGAGAGGAGAUUUAUUUUAGCAUUAAGGAAGUGAUGGAAGGAGAGAAGAGCGAAGAGAUGAAGGAGAAUGCGAAGAAAUGGAGAGACUUGGCUGUCAAGUCACUCAGUGAAGGAGGCUCUACAGAUGUUAACAUUGACACAUUUGUAUCAACGGUCCAGAGCAAAUAAGUUAUCAGAUGAAGCAGCAAAUAUCUCUUCUAUAGUGUCUUAUUGUGUCAGUCUUUCGUUCAGUGCAAUUUUAUGUUGAUUCUUCAUUUGGUUACUUCCCAAUCUUACAAUGUUUUCUACCAUAUUGUCUUUGUUUUAAUAGAUUUGCUGCUUUCAGGUUUUUAUCAUCACUCUUCACUAUCCAUUUUUCGAUUUAACUAUUUUGGCUUUACUCGUUUUGGCAUUUCAGUAACAACGAACAGGAGUACAGGACCAUGAAUGAUUCAUGGCCAUCUUCUUCUGUAUUUAUCAUCACUCUUUUACCUUUUUUUGUUUUUUUAGCCUAGUUCUCUUGCAUCACCAUGAAUGGCCAUCUUCUUCUGGCAUUUGACAUGUAGGAUUUCUAGCAACCAGAGAUUUAUAUAUUCUUGCCUUCCACCUGAUUUGUUAAUUCUGUUUUUUUUUUUGAACUUUGAUUUGUUAAUUCUGUUACAACCCCUGCCAUUAAGUUUGCAUCUGAAUCAUCAUUUACAGAUUAUUUGAAAGAGCCAAGAUUAUUAUUCUGAAACAAUCCCUUAACGUCAUCACUUUCGUCACUAAUCGAUGUCAUCUUAACAAUUAUUAAGAUGGGUUUGUUUUUUGGUGUAAAUAAUCAAAUCACAUAUUACAAAUAAAUCAUUUAUUUUAUCAUAUUUUUUUAUACGACAUGUUAGUAUUCUAUAUAAGCAACUAAUUUAUCAAAUAAUUUUUUUUUUCUCUUGAUACAUCAAAGUUGUCAAACACAUAUAUUUUUCAUUAUCAUUUUAUUUAUUUUAUAAACAUACAAUUUGUGUAAUAGAUUUAUAUUUGUGAGAUAUAAGUAUGUGAUCUAUUUGUGCGCAUAUAGCUAAUGUCAUGAUUUUUUUUUUUUGGGUCAGAAAAUAGUAAUGGAUAUUAUAUGAACUAAAUUAACGAUAAUUAAUAUUUGUAUCAUAUAUGUGCAUGUAUAUACAACUGAUUUAAUUAAAAAAAGCACAGUUGACGAUUUGAUUCGUUUAGCAGGUUGAUUUAAGAAGAGAAAUUUGAUUCUAUAUAUAUAUAUAUAUUAUUAUUAUUUUUACCAACAAACCAUGUCUUACCUUCUCUCUUCUUUUUACUUCCUAUCUUUCUCUACCCUUUUAUUACAAAUCUAAUAUUUUUUCCAAUAUAGUCAUUCAUCAGAUUAAUCCUUAUAAGAGUUGUCCUUUUUUUUAAUCAACAUAAGAAUUGUCUUUAGCUUGGCUUUUGCUUCAAAUGGUGUCUACUAGACAUUAAGCAAUGUCGUUAUAGCUGUUGGUCUUAAAUACUGAUCCACCAGGCAUAAAAUAAAUUGCAUAGAUUAGCGUUGAAAUCAAUAAACAUAAAACAGAAAAAUCGUAGUGAUGAAACAGAAAAAUUCAAAAUUGUUUUAGUGAAAGAUACAGAACAGUCACAUUCUAGAUAGCGAACUGUGAACUAGUGAAGAACACAAGAAGACGUGAUAUGAACAAAUCGUUUUUUUGUUGUCAAUGUAUUCUUGUAGUAAUAUAAACGUACAAAAUCUUUUCACUUCUUACUUACUCCAUUUCGGUUCAUCUCUUAUUUUUCCAUCUCUUAAGACUUAAAGACCUUAAUUACUUCUCCAAAACUAACAAUACAGCGACAAAACUUUCGAUUUUGUGUGUUAAAUUUACUUUUGUUGAACGAUAUUUACAUGUUAAGAAAUUUUCACCUUUUUGAAAACAUGUGGAAACCAAACUCUGAACACAAACAUGAUAUCUCUUUCCAUAUACAGUCAUCGUGUCGUGUGUAUUUUUAAUUCAAACGUUGUUUAAAGUAUUAAAUAUUAUGAAAAAUAUAAAAAAAUAAAUAAGUAUUAUGGUUUUAAUAAAUAAGUAUAUAUACUGAACAUAUAAACCACAUGCAGAAUAAAAUAUUUUUUUAUUUACACUUCCUUUUCUUGUGGACAGAAAGCAAAUUGAUAUUUUCUUCUUAUUCUCAAUUUUUUAAUUAAAAAGAAAAGACAAAAACAAAACUAUCUCUUGUUCUUAUUACAACGCUCUUAUCUAAAAGGAAGAACCUGACAAACCUGUCUAUAAAACCAGCAGUAUCUCUUAAGGCGUAUUCAUUUUGGUUACAGCAAAACAUUUAGAGAGAGAGAGAGAUGGAGCAGAAGAGAGGACAUGUAUUGGCAGUGCCAUACCCAACGCAAGGACACAUCACACCAAUCUGCCAAUUCUGUAAACGACUCAUCUCUAAAGGUCUCGAAACUACUCUCACUCUCACCACUUUUGUCUUCAACUCCAUCAAACCAGAUCCAUCUAGUCCAAUCUCCAUAGCCAACAUCUCCGACGGCUAUGACCAGGGCUGCGAGUCACCUUACACCAUCCACGAAUACCUCCAAAACUUCAAAACCUUCGGCUCCAGAACCAUUGCAGACAUCAUCCGCAAACACCAGACAAGUGAUAAUCCCAUCACUUGUAUGGUCUACGAUGCUUUCAUUCCAUGGGCACUCGACGUUGCCCGAGAGUUUGGUAUAGCUGCU